CCUACGGGAGGCAGCAGUGGGGAAUCUUGCGCAAUGGGCGAAAGCCUGACGCAGCAACGCCGCGUGCGGGAAGAAGGCUUUCGGGCUGUAAACCGCUUUCAGCAGGAACGAAAAUGACGGUACCUGCAGAAGAAGGAGCGGCCAACUAUGUGCCAGCAGCCGCGGUGAUACAUAGGCUUCAAGCGUUGUCCGGAUUUAUUGGGCGUAAAGAGUUCGUAGGCGGUCGAGUAAGUCGGGUGUGAAAAUUCUGGGCUCAACCCAGAGACGCCACCCGAUACUGCUUGACUUGAGUUCGAUAGGGGAGUGGGGAAUUCCUAGUGUAGCGGUGAAAUGCGCAGAUAUUAGGAGGAACACCGGUGGCGAAGGCGCCACUCUGGAUCGAUACUGACGCUGAGGAACGAAAGCAUGGGUAGCAAACAGGAUUAGAUACCCUGGUAGUCCAUGCCGUAAACGGUGGGCACUAGGUGUGGGUUUCUAUUAACGAAAUCCGCGCCGUCGCUAACGCAUUAAGUGCCCCGCCUGGGGAGUACGGUCGCAAGCUAAAACUUAAAUGAAUUGACGGCUGAGAGNGCGAGCGACACGAGGAGAGG
rnacentral:rRNA from 1 species